rnacentral:sRNA from 1 species
CCCCUCAUUAGUUGAGCACUAACCAAGUUCGAAGCCGCAAGAAGGAGCGGUGAUUACAUGGCUUAAAAGCAUCAUCUCCAUAAAGAAUUCAUCUUUCCCGCGGUCGAGUUGUGUCUGUGGAUGCUCUAUCUCUUAUCGUUUGAGAAAUGGGCUCGUGGCCUCGCAAUAUGUCUUGGCUCCGAAAUUGAAACUGAAGUCGGGCAAAAGAUGUCUAAACAGGGUUUCUGUAUUAGCGAGAGAACUACCAAAUGGAGCGAGGCAGGCUAGGCCGUUUGAGAGUUGCACAAGUUACGGAUGAUGUGCGCAAUAGUUCGCAUAGGUUUCUC